UUAGUCGGUGGUUAAGCUAGCUCAUUUCAUGUACUCUGUGACACAGCAAUUUACUCUUUCAUUAAAAAAUCAUUAAUGGUGUCGCUCAUGAAUUUUUCUUAUGCAGGCUACACCGUGAAAGGAAUUCAAGCAAAUGUUGACCUCUGAGUGUUGCACAUAGAGAUGACACUGAACGAAAGGAGGCUUCCACAGCUGCUCAUGGUCUCUGUGCCUUGAAGUCAAGUUGAAGCACUGAUGCUGAGAGUGGCACCCAGCAAUUUAUCCAGACCAGAAAAUAGAAUCAUGCUUAUACCCAAGUAGUGAAAGCUUUGAGUUUGUUGAAUCCAACAAAAGUUUCUCUGUUCUGCAAAGAGUCUCUUGCUUUGGUCCUUUCACAGUUGCUAAUAAGGGAAACACUGAAAUCAGCAAGUUCCUGACUGGGAAUAAGCUAAAAGUGGCUUUUGAAUAUUUUUUUUCCGCCUACUUAGCAAAUUUCUCUUGUGACAAUUGGUUGUUAUUUGGGGUUUCAUAUGGUGAGGAGGAAGCACAAGAACUAUUCAAUAAUUUGGGGCAUAAAUAUUCCCUUUAUAUAUUUGUAACCAUUAUUUUGAUUCUAUUUGAGAUUUAUGAUUGAUCCUUGGCAUGUGUCCUCUGGGUAUUGCCAUGAAAAAAGAAAAAUCUUGUAAAAGAAUUUUCC
rnacentral:lncRNA from 1 species